rnacentral:rRNA from 1 species
CCUACGGGAGGCAGCAGUAAGGAAUAUUGGUCAAUGGACGCAAGUCUGAACCAGCCAUGCCGCGUGGAGGAUGAAGGUCCUCUGGAUUGUAAACUUCUUUUAUUUGGGAAGAAACCCACGAUUUCUAUUGUGGUUGACGGUACCAGAUGAAUAAGCACCGGCUAACUCCGUGCCAGCAGCCGCGGUAAUACGGAGGGUGCAAGCGUUAUCCGGAUUCACUGGGUUUAAAGGGUGCGUAGGCGGGCAGGUAAGUCAGUGGUGAAAUCUCCGAGCUUAACUUGGAAACUGCCGUUGAUACUAUCUGUCUUGAAUGCUGUGGAGGUAAGCGGAAUAUGUCAUGUAGCGGUGAAAUGCUUAGAUAUGACAUAGAACACCCAUUGCGAAGGCAGCUUGCUACACAGAAAUUGACGCUGAGGCACGAAAGCGUGGGGAUCAAACAGGAUUAGAUACCCUGGUAGUCCACGCCCUAAACGAUGGAUACUCGACAUCAGCGAUACACAGUUGGUUGUCUGAGCGAAGACAUUAAGUAUCCACCGUCGGAGGUACGACCGACCGAGGUUAGUAACGUACAAAUAGAAGUUAGUACGGACGUUGAGACGUUCGGCCGACGGACGACGACGACGGGGAGGGUAGGG